rfam:Ictidomys tridecemlineatus contig059753, whole genome shotgun sequence.
GGAUUUAGCUUGGUGGUAGAGUGCUUGCCUAGCAUGCAAGAGUUCCUGAGUUUGAUCCCCAGGAUCCA